AAAAUGUUUGAUUCUGGCUUAUAAUCUUUGUUAUAUUAUUAAGGUUGCAUGAAAAAUAUUUAUAGUGAAAAAAGAAAUUAAUUUUAUAUUAAUAUAUUAAAUUUAAUAUAAGUAAGAUAAUAAUUAUUUAAAUUCUCAGCGUAGUGGUUUAGUUGAUAUAUGAAAUUAUGAGUUAGUAAAUAAUAUUAAUAAAUCUGAUAAAAUAUUUGUGCCAGCAUUCGCGGUUAAACUUUAAGGUUAAAUAAAGAAAUACUAUUAAAUAGUUAUCUGUAGAAUAAAUAUUGAUUUUCAAAUAUUGGUAGGUGAAAUUAUUAUUAUUUUGUAAAUUUAGUUAUAUUUAGAAGGGAAGCUAGUAAGCUUUAAAGAUAAACUAGGAUUAGAUACCCUAUUAUAUUAAAGUUAAAUAAAUAAAUAUUAAAUUAUUAAUAGGUAUAACUUAAAACUUUAAGAAUUUGGCGGUAAUUUAGUCUUGUCAGAGGAACCUGUUUAAGAUUAAUCGAUACACCUCGUAAUAUCUUGCUUGUUUUUAGUUUGUAUACCAUCAUUAUUAGAUAAUUUUUAAAAAAUAAAUUAUUAAAAAUAAAUUGUUAAAAAAAUUAGAUCAAGGUGCAGCUUAUAAAUAAGUUUAAAUGGGUUACAAUAAAUUUUAUUUAAACGAAAUAAAUUAGUAAGUUAAAUUUAGGAAGGAGGAUUUGAUAGUAAUAUAAGUUUAAUAAGCUUAUAAGAUAAAAGCUCUAAAUUAUGUACAUAUCGCCCGUCGCUUUCAUUAAUUAAUGAAAUAAGUCGUAACAUAGUAGAUGUACUGGAAAGUGUAUCUAGAAUUAC
rnacentral:rRNA from 1 species